rnacentral:rRNA from 1 species
GAUGAACGCUGGCGGCGUGCCUAAUACAUGCAAGUCGAGCGAACAGACGAGGAGCUUGCUCCUCUGACGUUAGCGGCGGACGGGUGAGUAACACGUGGAUAACCUACCUAUAAGACUGGGAUAACUUCGGGAAACCGGAGCUAAUACCGGAUAAUAUAUUGAACCGCAUGGUUCAAUAGUGAAAGACGGUUUUGCUGUCACUUAUAGAUGGAUCCGCGCCGCAUUAGCUAGUCGGUAAGGUAACGGCUUACCAAGGCAACGAUGCGUAGCCGACCUGAGAGGGUGAUCGGCCACACUGGAACUGAGACACGGUCCAGACUCCUACGGGAGGCAGCAGUAGGGAAUCUUCCGCAAUGGGCGAAAGCCUGACGGAGUAACGCCGCGUGAGUGAUGAAGGUCUUCGGAUCGUAAAACUCUGUUAUUAGGGAAGAACAAAUGUGUAAGUAACUAUGCACGUCUUGACGGUACCUAAUCAGAAAGCCACGGCUAACUACGUG